rnacentral:rRNA from 1 species
GAUGAACGCUGGCGGCGUGCCUAAUACAUGCAAGUCGAGCGAACGGAUGAGAAGCUUGCUUCUCUGAUGUUAGCGGCGGACGGGUGAGUAACACGUGGAUAACCUACCUAUAAGACUGGGAUAAAUUCGGGAAACCGGAGCUAAUACCGGAUAAUAUUUUGAACCGCAUGGUUCAAAAGUGAAAGACGGUCUUGCUGUCACUUAUAGAUGGAUCCGCGCUGCAUUAGCUAGUUGGUAAGGUAACGGCUUACCAAGGCAACGAUGCAUAGCCGACCUGAGAGGGUGAUCGGCCACACUGGAACUGAGACACGGUCCAGGCUCCUCCGGGAGGCAGCAGUAGGGAAUCUUCCGCAAUGGACGAAAGCCUGGCGGAGCAACGCCGCGUGAGUGAUGAAGGUCUUCGGAUCGUAAAACUCUGUUAUUAGGGAAGAACAUAUGUGUAAGUAACUGUGCACAUCUUGACGGUACCUUAUCAGAAAGCCACGGCUAACUACGUG